rnacentral:rRNA from 1 species
UACGUAGGGGGCAAGCGUUGUCCGGAUUUAUUGGGCGUAAAGAGCGUGUAGGCGGUCCGGUAAGUCCGCUGUGAAAGUCGGGGGCUCAACCCUCGAAUGCCGGUGGAUACUGUCGGGCUAGAGUGCGGAAGAGGCGAGUGGAAUUCCUGGUGUAGCAGUGAAAUGCGCAGAUAUCAGGAGGAACACCUAUUGCGAAGGCAGCUCGCUGGGACGUUACUGACGCUGAGACGCGAAAGCGUGGGGAGCAAACAGG